GAGAUCAUGACCUGAACCGAAAUCAAGAGUUGGAUGUGUAACCAACUAAGCCACCCAGAUGCCCUGACAAGGUUUCUUUCUGUGGCAGCUGUUUGCUCAGACCCAGAAAAGCUGGAAAGUGGACUUAAAGCCAAAGACUCCUUCCUCCCAGGAAGCACAAUGGAAGCUAAGAGAAUUCGUUUUAUUCAGGACAAUCAUAUCCCUAGCCAGGGCAACGGAUCAAGAUUUUUCCACACACACGACAAUGUUAUUUCAGCUUUCCCAUCCUCUCUCUCAGCUAUAUGGCCAUGCACUCCAGAUUUGGCCAAUGAGACCUAAGUGGAACUCUGAGGAGAGUGGAAUUUUUCCUUCCUUCCUUCCUUCUUUUUCCUUCCUGAGAAAAGGAAAUUGACUGGACUCUACCACUUGCCCCUUUCCCCUCCUACUUGUUUUGAAUGUGGAUGUGAUAUCUGGAGGUGCCACAGGCAUCUUGCAACCGUGAGGAAAUAAGUAUAAGUGAAGAACCAAGAAAACCACAGACGCUUUGUCGUUGUUGAGCUGCUGAGCCAAGCUCUGAACUACCACCAGACUUCCUACAUAGAAAAAAAGAAACACCCAUUCAUUUGAGCCACUUUUAACUAGGUAUUCUGUUAUUUGCAGCUAAAAGCAAUCCUAAUUUAUA